UUAAAUAGCAAAACCGUAACAUUGCACAGGUGACAGGUUAGAUAGUUUUGCUUGUCAUCAUUUCACUAUAAUUUCAUUUCAGCGGAUAGUCUGAGCACAUAAACUAGAAUAGUUCUAGGUUUGUGGCGUACACCUGCAAAAUGCAUCAUUCCUCAGUUAUUGUUCAUAUUGUAGGGUGACUCAGUUAGCAGAAUUUAUGUUGAGACAUUGCUUAAUAUAAUUCGCGGAGGUCAUUUUCAUACCGCGAAAUUUUGCGCGAGCAACCGGGAGAUUAUAGUUUAAUGUUUUAUCUGUCGUCUUAAUAUUGUGCAUAUUCAUGCUUAGGCUGUUGACAUGUGAAAGUUGAAUGUUUGAUACCCAUAUGCUGAAGUUAGAUGUUUGUCAUUGUGCUGCAUGUGGACGGUACCGUUUUGUCUCUAAAACUAUGGAGGCCAAUUACAUGCCAUCGUUCCUCUUAGGAGUAAUGUUCUCCUUGUGUUGUUUUCUGUCAUUGCAGAUGUGAUGUCCCAACAAGAAUCUGCCAAUAGGCUACCACAUUACACCUCAGCAGGCACACCAGAGAAGGACCACUCCUGGAUAAGGAUUUGAGCCACUUCCACGACUGCCAUCUCUACACUAUAUUACACAUGCCAGCAGAUGUGGGAGGUGGUGAUCGACGUGACUUGUCAGCAGGUGGAGGACUUCCACGGCCCCGCGGACUACUGAUUACUGUGUGUGGCCUAGAGCCACCUGAGGACCUCCAAGAGCUGGCAAGGACACCAUCCGCGUUGCCUGUAAGUUUCAUCUGUCUUUCACGGCUUUUGGUCCAUAACAUCAUAUUACAAUUAGCUACAACAGGCAGAACUAAGCCUCUUAUUCAGAGGCCACUGGGCCUUUGUUCUGACACCUGACUAUCUGAACUGUCUAAAAUAAUUUGUCAACCCUUUCUCUUGCUCUUUUCAGAAC